UACGGAAGGGGGCUAGCGUUGUUCGGAAUACUGGGCGUAAAGGGCGCGUAGGCGGCUUUGUAAGUCGGGGGUGAAAGCCUGUGGCUCAACCACAGAAUUGCCUUCGAUACUGCAUGGCUUGAGACCGGAAGAGGUAAGUGGAACUGCGAGUGUAGAGGUGAAAUUCGUAGAUAUUCGCAAGAACACCAGUGGCGAAGGCGGCUUACUGGUCCGGUUCUGACGCUGAGGCGCGAAAGCGUGGGGAGCGAACAGG
rnacentral:rRNA from 1 species